GAGGCAUCCCUCGUCUGUGUCCAUAAGUUUCCUGUUCCCUUCUGUCAACUUCAGCUUGUCUUAGAGCAGCUUGAUGCUGUCAACAAACGGGAAUUCAAAAGCACCACACAUGCAAAACCCAAGCGUUAGGUGAGGCAGAUGAGUCCAGCAAAGGUGAUGCCUGGCUGCAGACUGGGACUGCACUUGGUCAUGCAACUCUGCAUUCCAGAGUUCAAAGACCUUUGAAUCCAAAAGUCCUUUUAUUUUGGCUUUCUUCUGGAGUUCUUUGCACAGGAUAAAACCUUCAAAUCCCUUCUGGAUUCUCCUUGUGCAGCCUUUGUAAUGAAGUGCUGAACUGCCCACAACUGGCUCUUCAGAGCUGUCCACAGGUAAGUGUUUUUGGGACAUCCACCUUGUCCGUCCAGAUCUCAAAUAAGGACAUGUUGGCCAUGGGGUGUUUGGAUAAAAACUGAACAGCAGAAUAGAACAAACUGUUUCCUUUUUGCAGAUGAACCUCUAGGUGCACCCAGUGUGUGAUAUACCAGAACCCUUAGGGAUUCCUCAAGUCCUUAGGGAUGCCAGCAAUUUCAGUUUUUAAAUGAUACCUCCUAAAUAGCACUAUAUUUCCUGAGGAUUUGUUAAGUUAGUUACCAAGUGUUGCAUCGUGCAGUGUUUUCAGAAGUUUAGAAGGCAUUUUGCCUCAUUACUGGUGUUCUCUUCCAUAUUCCUUUCCUUGAGGUACACUGGCAGUUCAUGCUGGCAGAAGGGAAGAGCAAGCCUGAAGAUGAUCCAUUUGUUUAAUUAGCAGCUAUAAUCUUACAGUGUUUAUCAAUUUCUAAUACCUGUAAUAAGUAGCUUUGUUGAGAGAGUAGGCUGUAAAACCUUGAACUAAUGUGACCUAAAGUAAAAUUUAGGGGAACUGCUGAGUUCCUUCUCUGUGCUGGUGUGUGUGCUCUGUCCUUCCCACCUUCUUUCUUUGCAGAUGUCCCAAGAUAACUGAGAAGUCUGUUCCAGAGCUGUUCUCCUGGUGUUGGAGCCUUGGCUGCGCUGAAGAAUGCACAUUUUUUAUGAGGGGGAGGAGAAGAAGCCGUGUUUAUCCCGGAGGGAGAUGUCACAGCAAGUGCAGACUUCUGAGGAUUUUCUGUUUCUUUGACCGUCUUCGAGCCCGUGGUCUUGCAAAAGCCUGCAAGUGUUGUCCUGCCAUUUGUUGAAAGAACAGAUUUUGCUGAGAGGAUGAGUGAUCUCCUAAAGCUGUGUUGGCCUGGGGCACGUUGGGAAGGUUGGUUCAUGCAGCGAUGGUGGGCUCGGCAGGAG